CUGCUCACUUCAGCAGCAUGUAUGCUAAAACUGGAAACAAUACAGAGAUUAGUAAUAUGACCCAUGCAUAAAGAUGACACACAAAUUUGUGAACCAUUCCACAUUUCU